UACAGAGACUGCAAGCGUUAUUCGGAUUCACUGGGCGUAAAGGGUGCGCAGGCGGCCGUGUGUGUCAGGUGUGAAAGCCCGGAGCUUAACUCCGGAAUUGCGCCUGAAACUACAUGGCUAGAGCAUUGGAGAGGGUAGCGGAAUUCACGGUGUAGCAGUGAAAUGCGUAGAUAUCGUGAGGAACACCAGAGGCGAAGGCGGCUACCUGGACAAUUGCUGACGCUCCGGCACGAAAGCGUGGGGAGCAAAAGGG
rnacentral:rRNA from 1 species